CCUACGGGAGGCAGCAGUGAGGAAUAUUGGUCAAUGGACGAGAGUCUGAACCAGCCAAGUAGCGUGAAGGAUGACUGCCCUAUGGGUUGUAAACUUCUUUUAUAUGGGAAUAAAACAGGGUAUGCAUACCCUCUUGUAUGUACCAUAUGAAUAAGGAUCGGCUAACUCCGUGCCAGCAGCCGCGGUAAUACGGAGGAUCCGAGCGUUAUCCGGAUUUAUUGGGUUUAAAGGGUGCGUAGGUGGAUUGUUAAGUCAGUUGUGAAAGUUUGCGGCUCAACCGUAAAAUUGCAGUUGAAACUGGUAGUCUUGAGCACAGGAGAGGUAGGCGGAAUUCGUGGUGUAGCGGUGAAAUGCUUAGAUAUCACGAAGAACUCCGAUUGCGAAGGCAGCUCACUGGACUGCAACUGACGCUGAUGCACGAAAGUGUGGGUAUCGAACAGGAUUAGAUACCCUUGUAGUC
rnacentral:rRNA from 1 species